rnacentral:lncRNA from 1 species
GCCCACUCCGCCUACCCCGGCCGGCUGUGCGACUGGGGUUGCCCCUUGCCCUUCGCGCCUCUUUGACUCGCGCCUAGACUACCCCUCCGCAGCUGGACCACCACCCGGAGCCCUCGCGCCUCGGGUGCACAAAGUGGCAACAGGCUGCUUCUUCCUGCUUCCCUCGCAGGUGCCGGGGUCAGAGGAGGGGGUUCUCUCGCUUUCUUACCCUUCCUCGCCCUCAGGUACCUCUCUCACCUGCCCCACGGUGUUGGGGAGUGGCUCUGGAGAAGCAGUGAGCGAGACCUAGACGCGGUCUCCUGGGGGCUAAGGCGCGGGUCUGAAGUAAACGGUCAGGUCGACUCUCAGAUCUUCGCUGGGGCUUGUUCCUGCCUCUACUUUGGUUUUCGUUCCGCAGAAUGGUGUAGCAAGCUGGGCGGUCCCACCGCACCGGACUGCCGAGAAAGGUACAGGAUUAAUUUUAGUGCCCCAGGGUUAGGAGGUAGCAACUCUGUCUUAUGAAGCCCUUCGUGUCUGAGGAUUUCUAACUCCCUAGGCCCAGAGUCUUGGGAGUCCUGGCCGUAACUAACUGGGCAUUGCGACUUCGUUUGCGCCAAAGGUCAAGUGAUGGGCAAUAGAAACCUGCGAUCACACAUACCUUAGUGGAGUCAGUACUGUAAAAUGAGGGGUCCCUGGGCAGGACACCCUCUCUGGACGCUGGAUUCCCCUUCAGCUCCACUUUCUGCAGUAGUGUGCAAGUGUGGGUACUUUGCACCGGUGAGGUGCUUUAGACUUCAGCUAAGAUGGUAAGCGUGAGCCAGGAAAUAGUCCUCUUCUCAGCUCUUUUAAUUAGGACAUCAAAGCCAGCUUCCCUCUGGCAGGCACCAUGGUGAUGAAACCAGUCUGCUUAAACCCUGGUUUAACCACUUGGAAACCAUGUGACCUCAGGAAAGUUUUUCAGUCACUUGGGGCUUCUGCUGGUUUGUCUGAAAAUAGGAAAGCAAUGACUACCUUGCAGAAUUGUUUAAGAUAAGGGUUGGGGGUUUCUAGCAAUCAGGGAAUGCAAAUCAAAACUACAUUAAAAUUUCAUCUCACUCCAGUCAGAAUGGUGAUUAUCAAAAAUACAAAUAAGGGCCUGGGGUUGUGGCUCAGCAGUAGAGCACUCGCCUAGCACAGGCAAUGUGUUGGGUUCUAUCCUUAGCACCACAUAAAAAUAAAAAAAUAAAGGUAUUGAGUCCAACUACAACUAAAAAAAAAUUAAGAAAGAAUACAAAUAAUAACUAUUUAUUAUUUGUGAGGAUGUAGGGGAAAAGGUACACUCAUACAUGUUGGUGGGAGUGCAAAUUAGUGCAGCCACUCUGGAAAGCAGUAUGGAGAUUCCUUAAAAAAAAAAAAAAACUGGGAAUAAGGGCUGGGGUUGUAGCUCAGUAGUAGAGCACUUGCCUCAAACUCAUGAGGCCCUGGGUUUAAUCCUCAGCACCACAUUAAAUAAAUACAUAAAAAUAAAGAUAUUGUGUCUAUCUACAACUAAAAAAAUAUUUUUAAAAAACUGGAAUAAAACUACCACAUGACCCAGCUAUCCCACUCCUUGGUAUAUAUCUAAGAGAUCUAAAAUCUGCAUACUAUAGAGAUAUAGCCACAUCAAUGUUUAUAGCAGUAUAAUUCACCAGUAGCCAAGCUAUGGAACCAGGCUAGGUGCUCAACAACAGAUGAAUUAAUAAAGAAAAUGUGGAGCUGGUGUUGUGGCUCAGUGGUAGAGCACUUGCCUCUCAUGUGUGAGGCACUGGGUUUGAUUCUCAGCACCACAUAAAAAUAAAUAAUAAGUAAGGUAAAAAAAUGUAGAUUUAAAAUAUUUUUUAAAAAUGAAAAAAAUGUAGUAUACAUAAUGGCAUUUUACUCAACCAUAAAGAAGAAUGAAAUUAUGUCAUUUGCUUGUAAAUGGAUGGAACUAGAGAACAUUAUACAAGUGAAGUAAGCCAGACUCAAAAAGUCAGGCAUUGAAUGUUUUCUCUCAUAUGUAGAAGCUAGACCAAAAUAAGGGGGAGAAUAGGAGAAUCUCAUGAAAAUAGAAGAGAGGUCAGUGGAAUAGAGAAAAUGGAUUGAGGGGGAGGGAUGAGAGAUGGGAAAAGAGAAGAACUGUGGAAUGAAUCUAACUAAAUUUUCCUAUGUACUUAUAUGAAUAUAUCACAGUGAAUUUCACUUUUAUGUAUAUUGAUAAUGUACUAAUGCUAAAAAAGAAACUAUAAAUAAAUAGAAGAAAUAUCAGUAGAGGAAAGGGAACAGGGAGGGAGAAGGGGAGGGAAAGAAGUACUGGGGAUUGAACUAGAGUAAAUUAUAUUCUAUGCUUGUAUAAUUAUGUUAAAAUGAACCCCAAAAUUAUAUAUAUCUAUAAUGAACUAAUGAAAAAAGGGUUAGGGUGUACCCCAGUGUUAGAGCUCUUCUGAGUUUGAUCCUCAACACCAUACAUACACACACACACACACACACACUCACACACACACACAACACACACACACACACACAAGAAACAACUCCACAACUUGAGACUUAAGUUUUUUGUUUGUUUGAUUGUCCUGGGGAAUAUAACCCAGGGGCAGUUUACCAAUUUAUCACCAAGAUACAUCCCCAGCCCUUUUUAUUUUUUAUUUUGUAACAGGGAUUUUCUAAGUUGCUUAGAGCCUCACUAAACUGGUGAGGCUGGCCUUGAACUUGAAAGCCUCCUGCCUCAGCCUCCUGAGCUGCUGAGAUUAUAGGCCCCCACAUCAGGCAAGAUGAGACUUGAUGACUAGGCAGGGUCAUUGCCCCUUGUUAGCCUGAAGCAGCCAUAGAAGAUGGAUCUUCGCCACUCAGCAAGUCUUAAGAUUAAGGAAGCAAAGUAUGGGGGGAGAUAAGAUAGAGAUUUAGGAUCAACAGAAAUAUACUGAGUUUUAAAGGAAAUACCCAUGAGCUAUUGAGAUACAAAAAAAUGUUUGGGAACAGUUGUAAUUCCUAAACAACGUGCCUUGGUUCUACCCUUGUAAAAAAAUGAGAUGUUUAAUUUUGAUCAUUGUUUUGAUGUUAGCUGACAGUUUCCAGUGUCUGAUGAAGGGAGCUGCCUUUUCAAGAAUGCAAACUCAGGCUGGGCAUCCCAGCAACUUGGGGGACUGAGGCAGGAGGCUCGCAAGUUCAAAGCUAGUCUCAGCAACUUAGUGAGACCCUAAACAAUUUACUGAAACCCUAUCUCUAAAUAAAUAAAUAGGACUGGGGAUGUUGCUCAAUGGUUAGGUACCCCCGGGUUAAAUCCCCAGUACUUAAAAAAAUUUUUUUUUUAAAAAAAGCAAACUUGGAGGAUUUUUCUGCAAGUAAGGCAUUGUCAUCAGAGUAAUAUAAAGAUAGUACUUCUUAUUCAAGAGGUACCUUUUCUUCAAGAUUUAAAGUAGAGACAAACUUGUAAAUACAGUUUUCCCUCCAUAUUUGCAGGUUCUGCAACUGCAGAUUCAACCAAUCUUGGAUCAAAAAAAAUUUUUUUUAAUUAUGUCUAUCUUCCUGGAUGCAAUGGCACAUACCUGUAAUUCCAGUGGCUCAGGAGGUGGAGGUAAGAGGAUCAUGAAUUCAAACCCAGUUUCAGCAAUUUAGCGAGACCCUAAGCAACUUAGCAAGAGCCUGUCUCAAAAUAAACUACAAAAAGGGUUGGGGAUGUGGCUCAGUGGGUAAGUAAUCCUGGGUUCAAUCCCCAAUACCACACACACACACACACACACACAAAGAAAAGAAACUGUACUGAAUAUGUACAUUUUUUUCUUGUUGUUAUUCCCUAAACAAUAGAGUAUAAUAAUUAUUUAUAUAUCAUUUCUAUUGGAUUAGGUAUUACAAGUUAUCUUGAAAUGAUUUAAAGUGUAUUGGAGAUAUUGUUCUAAGUAAAUGAACCUCUGAGGAACUGCCAACAUGCUUUCUAUUCACUAACCUUGUUCCAGAUCUGGAGAGCCAUACUUCUUUUCAAGCUAAGUUUUGGAGGUUGUAAUUAUUUCCUUGUUUGUACAUGAAUUUGUCUAACCUUUUUAUUGUUAUUGUUGUUCUUUUGUUUGUAUCAGUGGAUUUCCUGGAGAAACCAGCACAUACCCAUUGUACUUCAAUUUUUGCCAGUGGUCCUAAGUAGAAUAUUUUAAAAUAUAUUGCAAAGUAGAUGUUGACUCCCUUAUGCUGCAUGCUUUAAGCUAUUUUGUCCAAUAUAGUAACCACUAACCACAUAUUGCUAUUAAGUCCAUUUUAAGGACUAGUCCAAAUUGACAUAUGCUGUAACCAUAAGAUACACACUGCAUAUCAAAGACUUAAGAAAGAAUGUAAAAAGAACUUACAAAAGAAAAAAUGUAAACAAUCUUGAUAAUGACUUUUAUAUUGACAACAUAUUGGAAUGAUAAUAUUUGGGGUACAUUCAGCUAAAUAAAAUACACCAUGAAAUUUUUGAAAAUUAAAGCAUAUGGGAGAAUGUUUUAGCUGAGAUGUAAAUACUACACCAUUGUACUCUUUUUUUUUUUUUAGUUGUAGAUGGACACAAUACUUUAUUUUGUUUAUUUAGUUUUUUUUUUUAAUGUAGUACUGGGGAUUGAACCUAGUACCUCAUACAUGCAUGCUAGGCAAGCACCCUACCAUUGAGCCACAACCCCAGCCCAAUCCUACACCAUUUUAUAUAAGGAACUUGAGCAGCCCAGAUUUUGGUAUCCUCGGAUACUGAUUCCAGGAUCAGUCUUCUGAGGAUACCUACUGUAUUUGUAAACAAAGCAGAUUUAAACAAUGUGAUAUAAGAAAAUAUACAAUAUACUAUGGGAACAUAAAGGAAGGGUCAUUUCCAGCCUAGAAAGGUCUCAUGGAAGAGGCUUCACUGCCAAAUCAAAAUGCCUCAAGCUGAACUUGAAACCCCUUCUCCAGACUUCUUUUAUCUUUUGUACUGUAUUCCUUCUUUCAGAAAUGGCUUCCUCAUCCAUUCAAGUUCCAAGCCUUUGGGAGUCACCUGAAUCUCCUCUAUGUUCUUUCUUUCCCCAUACAAUCAAAUUGUGUUAAAUUUAUCUCCUGGAUUUUGUUCAAAUCCUUCCUCCUCCUACCUCAUACCUGCAAUUAUGUCAUCUUUUGCUUUGAUCAUUGCCAGUCUUCUAACUUGUCUCUCCACCUCCGUGCUUAAUUGUCUAAAGCUGAUGUCUUGUCAGCCUUUGUACCCUCUCAUUCAGCAUCUCCCUACCUGGAAUCACCUCCAUCCUCCAUUUUUGUAGCUGUUACUCAUUUUCCAAGAUACAGGUGAAACAUCACCUCCUGUGUAAAGUCUUCCCUACCUGACCCAGAAAAAUUGGCCCUUUAUAGAUAACCUCUCUUAAUACAUUUGUAAAACACUAUUGUAUUUCAUUAAUUAUAUUUAAUCAAACACUAUUGUAUGGUAAUUAUCUGGAACUGGGUCUGAUAUACUUCUGUAUCUAUAGCACUUUGGCACUAAAUAAUUGAUUGUUGAAGGAAUUAAUUUUGAUGGGAUCAAGGACAAAUUCAUAUAAAGUACAAAUUAAUAUUUUGUAAAAGGACAAAUUUAUUAAGGUGGUGACAUUUGAGCAGGAUAUUCAAGCAGGAACAGAAACUAUUAUUACCAGCUAAAUUGCUUAAUCCAUCAAAGAUUGUUCAGUGACAUUUCAUUCACAUUAGGUCAUUAUAAACCAGUGUUUCACAAAUAUAAAACAUGAGAAUAAAAAAAGUUAUAUUAAAAAUAUUUUAUUUGCCUAUUUUGUUUUUCACUCUGAAUGAUAACAGAAUACCUCACUAGAUCCCUGUAUGAUAAUCAUUUAAAAGGACUUCAGAUUCUGCCUACUUGCUUUCUCUUAUAUUCAGCCAAAACCCUAAAGUUAUAACUGUAUGCAAUUAUACUACAGUGAGGGAUUCUUCCUUGCUUUGAAGAACAACUUUGUGACAACAUUGGUGUAGUUUAAUGAUGUGUAGUCCAUAAUUUGGUAAAAAUAUAAAAAUAUGUGCAGGAAAGAUAGACCAUAUCCAAUCUCAACAUGCUGGUUAUAUCUGGAGAGGGAGGAAAAGGAAUGGGAUAGCAGUAUGAGGAUCAUCUGAUGUUAUACUGUGUGUGUUUUUGUUUUGUUUUGUUUUUGAGAUGGAGUCUUGUUAUGUUGUCAAGGUUGAUCUCAAACUCAUAGGCUCAAAUGAUCUUUCUGCCUCAGUCUCCCAAGUAGCAAGGACUAUAUAUAUAUAUAUACACACACACACCAUUAUGCCCAACUGAUAUACAAUGUUUUAAUUAUUUUUAAAGAGAUCUAAAUCAUGACAAUAUUAAAAUUAAAAAUCUGCAUGUUUGCUUUUUCCUAUGCUUUUGUUUAUGUUUGAAGUAUUUUAAAACAUUGUUUUAUAGAUUAAAAAAAAGCUUUGUAUUAGGAGUCCAGAAACCUGCAGUUCAGUCUGUAUUUUACUGUAACCUCAAUUUUCCUCAGGUAAGAAAGGCAUGGGUGGGGAGAGGACUGGGAAGACAGUAGAUACAGAUUAUCUAAGGCUUUGCCUAAUUCUUAGAAAAAAGUAAUUCUGACAAUCUAGUCAUAUAUAAAUUCCUCUACUUAUAUGUUUAUUUGUGACAAAAAGAGUUUCAAUAUAGAGGCUGAUUCUAUGGAAAAAGCUAAUUUGUUAAAAAGUGUAUUAGUGUCUGGCUUUUAGGUGUUACUUUUAAAUUUAGAAUGUGUUAAUUUUAAUCCUUGGGAAAGAUAUUUAAGGUUCUGUGGGUUUUGCUCAUUAGCAUUUGAAGGACUAAAAUUUUGUGAUGAUUAUUGAUGAGCAAUCCACCAUGACAGAGAUGUCACCUAUCCUCUUUUCUCCUGUGAGCCAGCUUACAAAGAUUUUGCAUCUUCUUGUCCUAUUUGAUCCUCUCAAUAAUACUGUGAGGGAAGGGUCAGGAGUUCUUAGUAUUUGUCAGAUUUCCUAGUUAAACAUGACAGUUACUGGAAAUGAAAAUGUAAGAGCCAAUAUUUCACUUAGAGUCACGGGGAAGAAGAUCUGAGGUGAUCCAAUUUCUAAGCAACUAAGGCCCAAUUUCUGGGCUAAUUUGUUCCUGUGUGGUGUUUCUGAGGUCAGAAACCACUGUUCUUUCACUGCUAUGGUCUAUUUCAUUGUUGUUAUUAUUGUCUUUAUGUAGACUUAAGUGUCUCACAUGAAAAUGUUUUGGAAUAGAGCACCCAAGCUUACUGAGAAUGCAUUUGUAGCAGAGCAGGCUAGACCAGGGAUAACUGUGACAUGUGAGUUUCUUUGUCUCCCUUUUAGCAGUAUGAACUAUUUGUUCACUGUUUUUGCGUUGGGUCUCUUGUUUCUUUUCUCAUGAUAAGCCCCACAAAACCUUCUUUACUCUCAGUAAACUUACUUUUUCUUUAAAAAAAUAUUCUUAAGGUUUUAUUUUAUUUUUUAAAUUUUUUAGUUUUUUGUAAUUGGACACAAUACCCUUAUUUAUUUAUUUAUUUUUAUGUGGUGCUAAGGAUUGAACCCAGGACCCUGACGCACUAGGCAAAUGCUCUACCGCUGAGCCACAACCCCAGCCCCAAGGUUUUAUUUUUAAUUGACAAAGAAUAAGCAUAUAUUCAUGAGGUACAAUGAGAUGCUUCAAUAAUAUGUAUUCUGUAGUGAUCGAAUAUAUCCAUCAUCUCAAAUAUUUACCAUUUCUUUGUGGUGUGAAUAUUGAAAAUCCUCUCUUUUGGUUAUUCUGAAUUUUGAAAUGCACUAUUGUUAACUAUAUCAAUAAACAUCCAUAAUCUUUCCUAGUGUUAGAUGAUCUACACUAAAAUGCAUGGACCAACUCCAUUUUAUUUAGUAGGAGACUCUUAAAGAUCUUACAGGAAGAACCACUGAUGUUGAAAUGUCAGGCAUGAGAAACGGCCCUGAGAGAAAUAUUUAAGUCAGGAGACCCUCUCAUCCCACAGAUAACAUCAUUCAAAGCCUAUUUUUCCCUGGAAUUUGGUAUGUCUGAUGCAUCUUAUGCAUUCCAGCUGCUACUGUCCUUGUACAGGCUCUCAUCAUUUCAUAGAGUACUUCAAUGAACUCAGUCUUCCAGCCUUUCAACUUCGAAUUCACCCUUGACCUUAGUUCCCAUGAUGAUGUGAUAGUUUAGGCAAAAGUUGAACAUGACAUGGCAUAAGGCCCUCUUGUUUGGCUCAUCUUAUGCUGUGCCUCUUCCUCACCCCAUACUUUGGGCUCCAGAAUUGUCAAAUUACUUCCGGUUGAUGAACACUCCAAACCUCUAUCUUUACUCAGCUCCUUCUUUACCUAGAUAUUUCCUAAUCAAACCUUAAGAUUCCAGUGUCUUUUCUUCAGUAAAGCCUUCCUGGUUCUGUAAGAAAUGCUCAGGUUUCCACCUCUGUGUUGCCAAAGCACUCUGUGCAGUUAAUAUUCAAUCUGUCGAGUUUCUUAAGAAUAGAAGUACAGCACGUCUUUGAAUCUACAGUGCUUUGCAUCUCACUGGUGCUCAAUAUGUGGCAGUUGAAUCAAUUGAAUACCAUAUCAGUAUAUGUAAAUGUUUAUGUAGUCAUUUGCCAGAUCCUUUUUACAUAUAUUAACUCAGAAGUUUAUUUAGCCUGCUUUUAAAAAGACUACUCUUAGAUGUGGCAGAUUUAUAAUCCUUUCCUUUCAACAAGACUCUCAGCUGUCUUUGCACCCUGGAUAUCUAUAACACAAGUAAUCUUAAGUCCAUGAGUGGUUUUAACAAUAAGAGAUAUUGUGGAGUGGGGUCCACAUGCUUGGGCUGCUUCAUGUAGUACAACAGUGUUUACCGGGAAGUUGCUGAUUCAGUAUCUCAUAGUUUAACCCUUUUUGAUUAGCUUCCUUGUCUUGGAUGAGGAGUUUGGUGGGAUCUUUAACCAUGACAUUCCUGAGUUACAGAGAUUUUUGGUUUUCAGAAAUGUUCUUGCUAUAGAAACAACUACCUGCUUGUAUUUUAAGAAAUAGUAGUCUAAGAGAAAGAACAUUGGACUAGAUAUAUAAAUAUAGGUUCUAACCCUAGUUUUACUAUUAGAUAACUGCAUCUUCAAGUAAGUUAUUUGAUAUCUCUUUUAAUCAUUAAAUUAAAGGUAUUAAAUUUUCUCAUAAAUCUAUGAUUUUAUGAAUGGUAGAAUGUGAGGCCUUUUUAAAAAAUCUGGAUAGUAAGGGCAAGAAUAGCCCAUGUUGCCUAACACCUAGAGAAGAACCUUUCUAUUAGUAUUUAAAGGCCAAGGACUGGCCAAGACUGACUUGUAUUAGAAUGCCACAGGAACAGUAAGAACUGGACUGGGCUGGAUAUCCAAGGGCUAGGGAUUAGCCUUCAUUACACCCAUUUUAAGCUGCAUAACCAUAGACAAAUUACAGUUUUUCUGGGUCUCAAUUUCUUUAUCUAAAAAUGAGGAUAAUAAUACCUACCCCUCUUUUUUUGAUUGGAAAGAAUCAAACAAGUUGAAAAAUCUGAAAAUCUUUAUAGUCUCUCGGUAUUAUUUUUAGUUGAGAAAAAGGCAUUUGGAUAUAAUUCUUCCAUGGAAAAUUAUACAUAUGCCAUCCUUAAUGUACUGGAUGCUUGUCUUUGAGUUACUUUUCCCAUAGCGAUAAUGGCUUUGCAUUGAAUCAUUUAUAGUCUUUCCACCAGUUCUUCAAGUGAUAAAUAGCAUGUAUUUGAAACAUGUAUUUGAGACCAUGAAAUAAAGCAAAGCUAACUAAGCUGAAAUGUAGUUCACAACUUAUCAAUAAUUUGUCUGUAGUUACUUGGGCUAGCAAAACUGCACAUAGGCUUAUGUAUCAUCAGACAUGCAAAAUCCCAGGUUAAAUUUUUGGGCCCCAAAUUUCAUAAAGUAUCAAUGUGAUAAAUAGACCUUUCUUUCUAACUCCUUUGCCCCCUAAAACAAUUGCAUCUGUGUGCAAUGGGCUUAAUAGCAAUGUGUGUGGCAUUUAGAAGUAUUUUGUUGCCCAUAAGCUCAAUGCAAGUCAACAGGUGUUGUGGCUGUCUAAAAAAGCUCAUACUGUCUUAAGUGGCAUUAUGAGAAGUAUAACAUCCAAAACAUUAGGGAGAUGACUGCCUUUACUCUGCUCUAUUUUGACCAGUGCACACCUGAAGUUUAUCUAGCUCUGGAUUAGAUACAGAGCAUGCAUGUAUGUGUAUUAUCUUGCAUAUGAAAAUAAGGAGAGAUGAUGUUGGAGAGAACAUCUACCAAAACAAGAAGACUUGAAGGUAUCAAGACCAUUUAUCUAGCAAAACAAAGCAAAUGAAUAUCCUAAGGAGGAUAUUGUCACUUAUGAAGAAGGUCAUAUAAGAUUAUUUAUUCCAUAUGACCUGAAGGAGAGGAGCCAGUCAAUGGUAAAAACUAAAGGAGGCACAUUUCAGUUCAAUAUAGUUAUUUCUAAUAGAUGAUGUCAAAAGAUGAACUAGGGGCUAGGAUUGUGGCUCAGUGAUAGAUCACCUGCCUAGCAUGUGUGAGGCCCUGGGUUUGAGUCUCAACACCAUAUAUAAAUAAAAUAAAGGUCCAUUUACAACUAAAAUAAGUAUAUAUUUUUUUUAAAAAAAUGAAUUAGCCAGUCUGCAGGCAAUGAGUUCUUAGUUUUUCAGGGUAUUCAAGUCUGGUCCAGAUGACCACUUGGUGGGAGUAUUGUAGAAGAAAGUUAAUUAUAAGAUGGGUACUUGAACUAGAGAGGCCGUGGUUUGUGUGUAUUGCUAUAUCAUGAACCAAGAAAAGUACAGAAUAUCAAUUCCAAAGGGUCAUAAACAGACCAUAGAACAAUAAAAAGACAGUCGGUAUCUGAAGAAGAGGAAACAUCAAAAGGGUGAUCUUACUGAAGAACUAAAUAAUAGGAAGAUGAUUAUUAUUAAUAAUUUUAUUUAUAUUAUUAUUUUAAGUAUGUCUGGUUUGGUUGGGUUUAAUGGAAAAGGAUCACUUUAUUACAAGAGUGUGUGAACCCUAGAUUCUGGGACCAGCUGGUGAGAGUUCCAGUUCCAGAAUUGGUAUAAAACAACUAUUUCAUGGUUGCAAAAAAACAAUUUCAACUUAGAAGUACUUAUAUUGGGGCUCAGUUAUAAGACCAAAACAUUGCACGGAGGUCAGGAGGCCAAGAAGGUACAUAGCCUAGGGGUGAAUCAAGUAUAUAGAUAGAAUGAGAUAUUUUUAAAACUAGACCAAAUAUACUUACACUUGGUACUUUACAUUGGAUAAUUGGCACCCUGAAAUCCUUUACACUGUAUUCUGAGAGGCCAUACUAUGUGCUUAUGAUCACAUAGAUGGUUUACAUAUCGUAAUAACUUGCCAGAUUCUAUGCCCUACCAAAGACCUUAUGCCAGCAAGUUCAACCCUACCUUGAGCACUAACCAGUUAGUCCUGCCCGUAGUCCCAGAAUCUAAGUCCUGCUUCAGAUCUCAACCUUGUUACUGACCCUGUCUAAAUUAAUAUUCCAGAUCUAAUAACUAGUCUACCAUGUUUGAAACAACAAAACAGUUCAAUAACUGAAACUCUAUUUUGUUUCUUUAAAUCCAAAUCUCUUUCUGAUAUCCCAGCCCCUUUUAAAUUUAGCAUUGUUAAAGCCUCACCCUGGAUACUGAACCCUGCUAUCUCUUACUAGACUUUGUAACACAGACUGCUUCCUAGAUUGCCACUGCUAAAUCCCAGAGCCCCAGAGCCUCACUUUUGGGUCUCUAUGAGUGCUGAAGUUGUAGGCUUCAAUUCUCUGAGAAUCGGGCACCCCUCCAUCACCAGAAUGCUCUUUUAUCUAAGGAGCAAACUGAUUUUGGCCUGUGUCCAGAGUGAUCCAAUCUAAACUCAGCCUCUAUAGUCACUAACCAAAAAGAGCUUCCUCAGUCUGGUACUGUGUAAUCUUCUAGAUUUGGAGGCCAUGUUCUUGGGCAACAUAGCUCCAUAUCUGUUAACUAUGAACUUUUCUUGUCCAGAUUCUGUGGAAUUAGUUUUACCAGCUCAUAGCAAGCUGCACAAUUAGUUUCCUAAGAGUCUUAUAGCCUUUCAACAAUGGUUCUCUUUACUGGUUAGUUAUUUUUUUAAAUUUAUUUUUUAGUUGUAGUGGACACAAUACCUUUAUUUUAUCAUUUAUUUAUUGUUUUAUGUGGUGCUGAGGAUAGAACCCAUGGCCUACAUGCUAGAUGAAUGCUCUACCUCUGAGCCACUACCCCAGCCCUUACUGGUUAGAUUUAUAAGCACACACUGAAUGAACCAACCUUUGUGCCAGGUAUGGGGUCAAAGGUGAGUAAAUUAUAAGGUGCUUUUUUUUCAUAUCAUAAUAAUAAUGGCUUAUAAUUCUUAAACACCUGCCACAUGCCAGGCACUGUGUUAGGUACUGUGUGAUGCCUAUAGGGGACAGACUUUAUAGGGAAUGAGAGGUAUGUCACCUAGGCCUAUAGGUGACAGGCAGGAUUGAGGAUGGAAAGUUAUAGAUACAACACAUAGCUGGUGCUUAAUAAACAUUAGCUGUGCUUACUGUGUUGGGCAGUAACAUUACCAAAAGUGCCAUGCAGGUCUAGAGGUGGGAGAACAAACAGAGGGAUGUGUGGACAGUACCAGAAGGUCAAUCCAGGAAGAGGAAAAAGCAAGACUGCAAGCAGGAAAAAAAGACAACCAUUCUGGAGUAGCCAGCCUUUUAGAACACAAGAGUAGGUAAAGGCUCACAAUGGAACAAUGUAUGGGAAGCAGAUCUAGAGAGUUUUAGAGAGGGCUAUGCUAAAGGAAGACUCUAGCCAUGAAAUCAUAUUCACAGGAGAAAAUGAUUGCAUGAUUUUGUAAAAACCGGAAGGAUAAGACACAAGACUGAAAGUUAUUCAAUUAAAGGAAGGAAGAUUGCAGACUGCUUAGUCACCUGCAGAGAGAGUGUAGAGCUUACAAAAUGAGAGGAGAUGAUCACAUCACUUAAGUGAACAUUGAUCAACGUACUUGGCAGGACAAGUGGAAAUGUUUUUCUUUUAAAUAAUUCAAACCAUUAGACUUCAAACCCAGUUUAAGAUAGUAUAAGAGUCUGAUAUAUAUAAAUGCUUCAGGGGUGAAUGAGUAGAAUAAGUGAAAAGGAGGAAUAAGUAAAACUUACUGUGUUCAACUAAUAGUGCAUGAAUAAAGUCUCCAGUGGCAAAUCACAAUAGCCAUCAUUCAAAGGUAUUGUAUAAGGGAAAAGAAAUACUGUUUGCUGGUUAUCCUGUAUUAUAACAUACUGAAGCCACAUUAUGGUAUUGUAAUCAAAGGAAGGCAAGCCUGAUGAUCCAAAGACAUUUCUCUUUCUGAUAUUCCAUUUUUCUAAGGUAGGUUUAACUUAAAAUGAUAGAUUUUCAUGAUAGGUUGUUCACAUUUCCCUCAAUAUUUUCCUGAGUUAAUCAGUACAAAAAAUGGCAGGGAAACAAAAUUAAAAGAAUAUUAAAGUUAUAGGCAUAUAGUAUGGGAUUUCAUAGUAAUGUUACUAUUUAAUAACUUUUCCAUUCAUUGGGAAAUAGCAUUUUUAUUUUAUCAGAAGUAGCAUGGUACAGUAGGAAAAUUGUAAGUUUUUAAAGUUCAAUUCUGUAAUGUGUUGACUUUAUAACUCUNUCUCCUCUCCUCUCUCUCUCUCUCUCUCUCUCUCUCUCUCUCUCUUGUGCAGGGCAUUGAACCCAGGGCCUUGUGCAUAUGAGGAAAGCACUCUAUCAGCUGAGCUAUAUCCCCAGCCCUCCCUUUCUCUUUUUUGAGCACAGAUGUACUUUUGAAAAAACUUUGUUUUUGAAAAAAACAAAAAGUUAAAUCAGAGCUAAGUUAAUGUGUGAUGGGGUUGAAGAUGUUUACAAAUUGUGACUAUAAAGUGCUACUGUAUUGCUAAGCUAUGAUGUUUUGAUUUAAUGAAUUCAAGAUAUAUCUGGCCUGCAGUGGGUUUAUCAGGGCACAGCCCCACUAUAGAUCAAGGAGCAUCUGAGAUUGGCUUUCUUAUUUGGACUGUAGAUCAACUCUGAAAGCAACUCAACAUAAGUUCCAGAAAAAUGUAAAGCAACAAGGCAUUUUUUUGAAUCAGUUGUGGAUACAUACAUUCUUAUAUGUUUAAACUUCAGCUUCAUUUCUUUAUAAUCACAUCUCAUUUCCAUGAAAAGUCUGAUGCAAAUAAGAAUUGAUAAUAGAUACUAGCAGGGAAUGAGGAGAGAAUAAAACUAUAGAAAAUGGCAUAGAGCCUAAUUAAAGUAUUUUAAAAUUCUUUAUAUACAACUCAAGUCUUGGAUGUUAGAAAUUUAAAAAGUCUAAUUUCUGAAUCUUACUAUAUUAAGGAUUAUUUUUCCAGAAAUAGAGUAGUUCAUCUUCAACUCAGUAUACCUUAAAAUGAACUUAUUUUCCUCCUACUAAGUUCUUACUUUAAGCUUGUCACUAUCCUUCUUCUUGUGAGCCUCUAUUCUGCCCCUUCUCACUGCAUCCACCAUCCUUACCUUCCUCACUGCAUCUUGCCUGUAUUGUUGUAUUUGCUAUGAAGCUAAUUUAUCCUAUCUCAGUGUUUUUGUCUUCCAAUAGAGACUUUUCAAAUUACUUUUCCUCCUAUAAGACUCUCAUAUAUGUUACAGUUCCCGAUGUACUGAUUUAUUUAUUUAUUGUCAUAAAAACUUACCAGUAAAUUUGUGUACCUGUGUAUUCAUUUGUGUACCUGUCUCUCUGGUCAGCUUUUGAAUUAUUUAAAAGCAGUGGUUAUUUUUUUCUGUGCUGGUAGUGCUUAGUGAAAGGCAUUACACAUAGCUGUGUGACUCUAGUAAGUUAUUUAAUGACUCUAUGCCACAAUUUUCAUAUCUGUAAGAAUGGAUGGGGUUAAUAGUACAGAUUGAACAUCUGUUUUUUUGUUUUGUUUUGUUUUGCAGUACUGAAAAUUGAACCCAGGGCUUCAAACAUGGUAGGCAAGCCAUCUACCACUGAGCUACCUCAGAUCCAGGUUGAAUACUCUUUAUCUAGAAUUUUGAAAUUCAAAAUGAUAUAGUAAUGAUGCUCAAAAAGUUUUGUAUUUUGUAGCAUUUUGGAUUUCAUAUUUUUGGCUACAAAUAUUCAAAAAAGAAAUCUAAACUCUGAAAUACUUCUAGUCCCAAGCAUGUUGGAAAAGGGAUACUCAAUCUGUGUUUAUUUCAAAGGACCACUGAGUUAAGAGAGUACAUGUGCGUAUCUUAAGUUAGUUUUUGUAUAAUUAUAGUUUUACAUAUUACAGUUUUUGUAUUAUAUUUUGUAUAUUUUAGCUUUAAAAAAGUUACUGUUUAAAAGUUAUUUCUAUAUAAGGUAUGUUGACACCAAAUUCACAUCUUCAUACGUGUAUUUUAUAUAAUGAUGAUCAUGUAUGUAAGAAAUUUUUUAAAAAGUUAUUUCUAAAAGUUACUGCUUUCUUAUUUUAGGAAACUAUUUUUUUUUCUGACUUUUGAGAGUCUCUGUUAUCUGACCUCACCUCGACCCUUCUGGGUAAAUCCCCUUGUUCUCUAACAUAGUAUCCUAUAUCCACCAGGUCAGGCUUCCAUUCUUCUUAGGCUAAUACAAGUACACUGUAUUUUUUUACCUAUUUCCAUCCUGGAGCAUCCUGCCUUUUAUAUUCUGCACUCACAAAUUCCACCCAUGCUUUGGGAUCAUGAUUAGGUCUUCUCCAUGGUGUCCUCAACAACAGUUCCAUCUUAUGCUUACCUCUCUCUUUUCCGAGAUACUCUGGCAUUUAAUCUGGUCUCUGUUUAGGUAUGUAACAUUUUUGUGUGUGUUUAUCUUGUCUCCAACAAGAGUGUAAAUUCCCAGAGGACACGGACUAUCCUGUGUUUCUUCCAUAUUAUAUUACUUUCAUAUUCUCUACUAUAUAUGGCAUAGUUAUGGGUUUUUAUUCAAUUCUUUAAUAUGCAUUUCUUUUUUAAAACAAUAUUUAUUUUGUAGUUGUAGUUGGACACAAUACCUUUAUUUUAAUGUGGUGCUGAGGAUCGAAUCCAGGUCCUCACACAUGCUAGGUGAGUGCUCUAACACUGAGCCACAAUCCCAGCCCCUAAUACAUAUUUCUUAAUGCAUAUUUAACUAUUGCUUAAUAGUAGGCAAUUAAAUACAAUAAUUAAUAAGACAAGGUCACCUAAUUUUGAGGUAUGUCCAUUCUAAUGGAGAACUAAAGCUAUAAGUAUUCAGAAUUCUGUGUAGUCAGUGCUAUGGAAGAUUUUACAGCAAACGAUUAAUAUUCAAAUUUAUUUUAUUUUUUUAAUAUUUGGUUUUUUUAGUUGUAGUUGGACACUUAUUUAAAUGUAAGGGCACUUAUUUAAGAGUAAGGGCACUUAUUUAUUUUUAUGUGUUGCUGAGGAUCUAGCCUAGGGUUUCACACAUGCGAGGCAAGCGCUCUACUGCUGAGCCACAACCCCAGCCCUCAAAUUUAUUAAUUAGAUAAAUAUGAGUUCUGAGUAGAGGAUGAUCAGGGCAAAUGACCUAAAGUAAGGGUUUCUAGCGUGUAGCAGUAGCCAAGACAAGAUGUGAUGAGUGCUUGAACUACAAUACUUAGAAACAGAGGAAUGAAUGAAAGAGCCACUGGGAAUAAAAAUAAAAGGGAUUCUAACCAUGGAAUAUAAAGUAUAAGAGACAAAGACCUUCAAGAUGAUUUGGGCUUCUUGUUUGAGCAUUGGCUUAAUGGUAAGACCAAUGAGGAGGGGAAAAAAAAGCAAAUUUGGAUAUUGAAAUGCCACAGGACUUCCAAAGACAGAUUGCUAUGUAUAGCUGGAAAUUCUGGUCUGUGGUCUAAGGAUAGGAAUUUGGACUAGAAAUACAGGGAAAACUGGAAAUUUUAGCAACUAGUGGCUGUUUAAGCCAUGGGUGUAGAAGCAAUUCCCCAGAGACAGGAUAGGAAAAGAGAGAAAGUACCUGAAACAGAAAUGUUCAGAGAAGUUAGAAGAGAUACAGGAAUGAUCAGGUAGGUACCCAAGGCAGCAGUCAAUGCUACCGUGAGACCAAUUGUAAUUAUGUAUUGAAUCCAGCAUUUUGGAAAGUACUGAAAUGGGCUAAGGUGGCCCCUAGUAGGAGUACAGUAAAUAAUGGUCAAAAUUAAUUGAAUAGGAGACAAAGAAGGGUCAACAGAGAGAGAAACUUUCAGUAAAAUUGAAAUAUCAGAAAGGAGAAAGACAAGUUCAUUGUUUGAACAUGAGAUAGGGCUUUUUUUAAAAAGCCAGAAAAACUUUUGAUGGUUUCUAUAAAGGGGGGCAGUGUUUUGUGUGUUAGAGCUAUUGUCUAUUGUGUGUCUCGUGAUAUACUAACCUCUUUAUACAUUUUACACUUAAUUGUCACAAUCCCCAAGGGUCUCCUAUACACUUGACAUGAAGCUCAGUGUGGUUAACUUGCCCAGAGGAUCAUUUGUUUGACUUACAAAUGUUACCAGGUUUGUCAGCUCUUAGUGUUACCAAUUAGUGUCACCAGCUCAGCCUUGGAUUCUUUUGCUCAAUUCAAGAUAGAAAUCACAAAGAAUCAAGAAAGCAACACCAUCCCAACAAAGCUUUAUUGGGGUCUAUAAUCAAGCAUUAGAGAGAGAGUACAUGGGAUAGGUUCUCCAUGCUGUUCCCUGAGACGAAAAGCAUAGGUGCACACAGGCACACAGUCAGUUGUUGUACAUGAUCCCAAGAUUUCUGCACAAGUCUUGUCAGUUCUUUGCUUUUGGCACCAGGGUUUUCACAUAACAUGGCCAUCUGCUCAUGUGUGUUGGGUCUGUCUGAGCUUGACUUGCAAAAUAUGACGGAGGCACUCACUACAACCACCUCAGGAAGGCCAUGUAUUAGUCAAGUUCAGGCGUAUUGCAAGUACAGGAGUGGGGUGGGGUGUUGCAGGAAGAUGUAGGUAGGUGAGGAGUCAGCUGCUCCUGAACCUGAUCGUUGGUGGAAACUUUUUUUUUUUUUUUAAUCUUGGGUUAGACUGGAAACCUUGGUGGGGGAAUUAGGGCCCUCCCUGCUAUCUCAGAGAGCAAACUCUUUCCACCACACAUAGUAAUUUGCAUGCACAUACUCUUCCCUAAUCCAUCACCAAAAAAAGGGGGAUAAUUUUUUGGUCCAGAUGAUAGAAGGGAGCCAGAAGUUUAGUGUAUCCAAGUUCACUGUGGAAACACUACCUGGGAAGAAUAAGGAUGAUGUGCCCACAAUAGCAAGCAGGAUAUAUGAAAAACCUGCACACAACAAGGGCAAAAGAUAGAAACACAGGAGCUGAGAGCCUUAGCCAGUCAUCUCCUAAGAGGGAGGGUAGGGCAGGUUAUUGUGAGGAAAUCAGGAAACACUUAUUAGAUUAUUAACAAUUAGAAAUCAUAGCUGAAUGUCAGUUUUAAAAAUUGUUGGGUUAAAGAAUAGUUUUUAAAAAUUCUACCUGAAACUACUUUAACUUCUUAAAGAUUAAAAAAAAAUUAUGAAAGUGGUGGUAAGAAGGAACCAGGUUAAAAAAAAAAAAAACCAAAACCCUAACAAGAGGUAGAGAGCAACCCACUUAAAAAGUGGCAAAGGAUCCAAAGAAGAACCUCACCAAAGAAGAUAUAGAGAUGGCAAAGAGGCAAAUGAAAACACUUUCAACAUCAUACAUCAUUAAGGAAUUGCAAAUUAGAAUGAGAAAUGACUACAUGCCUAGUAGAAUGACCAAAAUCCACACCCUGACACCACCUAAUGCAGACAAGGAUGCGGAGUGACAGAAAUUCCCAUUCAUUGCUAGAGAGAAGGCCAAAGAGGAGAUACUUUGGGGAAAAAAUUGGCACUUUUUUAUAAAACUAAACUGCUUUUGCCAUGUGAUCCAACAGUCAUGGUACUUGGUAUUUACCCAGUUGAAAACUUACGUUUAUACAGAAACCUGCACAUGGAUGUUUAUGGCAGCAUUAUUUACGAGUGCCAAAUCUUGAAAGCAUCAAAAUGUCUUUCAAUAGGUAAAUGAAUAAACUGGCACACCCAUACAAUAGCAUAUUAUUCAAUGCUGAAACAAAUGAGCUGUUCAUCCAUGAAAAGAUGUGGAGGAACCUUAAAUCCCUAUUACUAAGUAAAAAAAAUCCAACAUGAGCCAAGUGUGGUGGUGCACGCCUAUAAUCAGGAGGCUGAGGCAGGAGUAUCACGAGUUCAAAGCCAGCCUCAGCAAUUUAGUGAGGCUCUAAGCAAUUUAAUGAGACCCCAUUUCAAAAUAAAACAUUCAAAAAGGGCUGGAGAUGUGUCUCAGAGGUUAACUGCCCUGGGUUGUUUUUUUUGUUGUUGUUUUUUUUAAAGCCCAAUGUAAAUGCUACAUGUUGAAUGGUUCCAAUUAUAUGACAUUUUGGAAAAUGCAAAGUUAUGGAGACAAUAAAAAGAUCAGAGGUUGCCAGAGGCUUAGGAGAAGGGAGGAAUAAAUAGGUGGAGCAGACAGGAUAUUUAGGGUCAUAAAAUUAUUCCAUAUGAUACUAUAAUAGAUGGAUACAUGUCACUUUACAUUUGUCAAAACUUAUAGAAUGUACCUAGAAUACCUAGAGUGAACCCAUUAUCACUUUGAAUGAUAAUGAAGUGUCCAUAUUGGUUCAUUAAUUAUAACAUUCCUGUUCUGCUGGAUGUUGGUUGUGGGGGAGGUUGUGCAUGUAUGAAGGCAGGGGGUAUAUGGAAUGUCUCUGUGCUGUCCACUCAAUUUUUCUGUGAACCUAAAAUGCUCUAAAAGUCUAUAAUAAGAAAAGGGGUCAGGGGAGGGGGUGCCCGGGUGUGGUGGCACACGUCUGUAAUCCCAGUGGCUUGGGAGGCUGAGGCAGGAGGAUCGUGAGUUCAAAGCCAGCCUUAGUAAAAAGCAAGACGCUAAGCAACUCAGUGAGACCCUGUCUCAAAAUAAAAUACAAAAUAAGGCUGGGGAUGUGGCUCAGUGGUGCCCCUAAUUUCAAUCCCUGGUAGCCAACCACACCCCCCAAAAAAGAAAAUGGGGAAGAAUUGGAAAAUCAAUAUAUUGUAGGAAAGCUAUAUGAAAAUAUUCUAUGUUUAUAUAAAUAGGAAUUCCCUCCCCUAAAGAAUAAGGGAUAUGGUAUUUUAAAAAAUACUCCAACUCCAUAUUCUCAAGAUGAUGCAGAAACCUGAGGCAUUCUGACACAGUAGAGAAAGCACUGAACUGUGGAGUGAGAGUCUUUCUUCAAAUCCUGGCUCUGUCACUAGGUAAUUCCCAUUGUCUCACUAGGUCUGUUUUCUCAGCUGCAAAAUCUAGGGGGUGACCUGUGAUAUCCAAAGUAACUUUGAGUUUGGAAAACCUGUGUCCACAUUUGCAUAUCGUAUGACAUAGUGCUUAGGAACACAGGCUCUGGAGCUAGAAUGCUUAGGUUAAAUCUCAGCACCUCACACCCAAGCUAUGAGCAAGUUAAUAGUCUCUCUAUUAGUCUCCCUGGCCCUUGAUUUCCUCAUCUGUAAACUAGGGAUAAUAAUGUAAAUACUCCACUAGGUGAUUGCGUCGGUUCAAAUAAAAGUGCCGGAUACAGUAAAUAAUAGAUAAAUAUAAACUAUUAUAAUUACAGAUGGUAGAUGCUAUUAUUCUGAUAGCCGUUUGCCACUAUCGAGAACAUGCAACUCUAUACCUGUACGUGAUUGAAAGAAACAGAAGGUAAAUGGAAUUAACCAAUUGGAGUUUGCCAGGUUCCCAUUUUGGGAAAGGAAUGAAAGGAAUCUUCAAAGAUCUGAGUGGUCAGGACCUCUGGGUUGUGAUUCAGCUACAGUCAACUGUCAAAUUUUCCCACAGCUCAGUGGAAAGUCACUGAAAACUCCAUGAAAACAGUGCCAGUCCUCCUUCAGUGUUUCUCUGCCGGGAUGCACCACUGACUCUGGAGGUCUGACUUAUUGGUGUCCUGGCAGGGGACAGGGAUCUAAGCAAGCUUGGUAAAUUUUUCCAACCAAAAUACUUAAGUGUCUACAACGGCUUUUGCUAUACAAUGAUAUUGCAAGACUCAAACUUGCAAAGCAUCAAAGAUGAAAAGUUUGGAGUCCAGAUUGUCUGUGAUAUCUUAAGUACCUUUGAAUGGAAAAUCUGUGUCUGCAUUUGCAUAUAGUAUGACAUAGUGGUUUUAGGCAGGAAUGAUGAUGCAGUAAUGAUCGUAGGUUAUUUCAGAAUUCAGAAUCCCAAGUGUCAACCCCAUAGGCUGCUCCAUGCCUUUCUCUCUGGGUGAAGUUAAAAACAUGAUGCCAACUGGGGUUAUGGCUCAAUAGUAGAGCUUUUACCUAGCAUUCUUGAGGCCUAGAGUUUGAUUUCUAGUACUGGGGAUGGGGGUGGGAGGAGAAGAACAGAGACGCUCCUUGCCAGAUAGUGUGUGUGACAGUAACUAAGAUUUUAAAGUUUUCUCAAAUGAGUCCAGCAGGCAUUUCAUCUGUCAGUGGUAAUUGUCCCCAGUUUAAACAGAAGUGCUAUAACAUCUUUCCAGAUAUUCUUAGGGAACUUUCUCAAACUUGAAUUCAAGAUCCCUUUUUAUCAAUCUGAUUCAUUGUUCCUAAUUUUUCCUCUUACAAAUUAAGCAGUUAGCUGUACACCUUGAUGUUUAAGUAUCUAAGUGGUGAUCAGAGCCAAAGCUUCUUCUACUUCUUACAUUCCCCUGUCAAGAGUAGAGAUGGCAUGGUCCAAAGCUGGUCUGGAUUUUCCCUUUCAAUGAAGUCUGCUCACUACAAAACCUGGAUACUGGAUGGCAUUCACCAGACAUUGGUCAUUAGAACACACAUUUUUUCUUUUUAAAAAGUCGUAUACAUACAUUUGUAUAUUUUUUAAGUGACACAUCAAACAUUUAUCAUUUCUUUGUGGUGAAAAUAUUUAAAUCCUUUCUUUUAGUUUUUUGAAAUAUACAGUAUAUUAUAUAUAUAUAUAUAUAUAUAUAUAUAUAUAUAUAAAAUCACUUUACUGUAUAAUAGAACGACAAAUUAAUUUCUCCUAACUAUAAUUUAGGACCCAUUCAAUAACCUUUCCCCACUCCACUUAACCUCAUUUUUCCCUCCCUCUGUUGUUACAGUUUGGUUGUGAAGUGUCCCCCAAAAGCUCACAAUGCAAGAAGGUUCAGAGAAGAUCAGUCUGUGAAAGCCUUAAUCCAAUCAGUGUAUUACUCUCCUGAUAGGAUUAACCAGGUGGUGACUGAAAACAGGUAGAAUGUGGCUGGAGGAAGUGAGUCUCUGGGGGUGUGCUUUUGGGAUAUAUAUUUUGUAUCUGGCAAGUAGAGUCCCUCUCUCCCUCUCCGCUUUCUGAUCAUGAUGUGAGCUGCUUCCUUGAGCCACAUUCUUCUGCCAUGAUGUUCAGCCUCACCUCCAGCCCUGAGGAAUGAAGCCGGCCUUCUAUGGACUAAGACCUCUGAAACCGUGAGCCCUAAAAUAAACUUUUCCUCCUUUAAAAUGGUUCUGGUCAGAUCUUUUAGUCACAGCAGCAAAAAAGUUGAGCAAAAUAUCUGAUAACCAUUAUUCUCUUCUCAACUUCUAUGAGAUCAAUCAAUUUAGAUUUUAAUUAUGAGUAAAGAGCAUCUGAUUUUUGCUUUUCUGUGCCUGGCUUAUUUAACUUAACAUAAUAACCUCCAGUUCAAUUCAUGUUGUCACAAAUGAAAGGAUUUCAUUUUAUUUAUGGCUGAAUAAUAUUACCCCCACACACAUAUAUAUAUACCAUAUUUUCUGUAUUCAUCAUUGAUAGAUGCUUAGGUUGUUUAAAUUUUUUGGUUAUUGUGAAUAGUGCUGCAAUAAACAUGGGAGUUCAGAUGUCUCUUCAUACUGAGUUUAUUUCCUUUGGCUAUAUACCUAGUAGUGGGCUUACUGGAUCAUAUGGUAAUUCUAUUUUUAAUUUUUCAAAGAACUUCCGUACUGUUUUCAUAGUCACUGAACAAAUUUACAUUCCCAUCGAUGGUAUGUGUAAAGGUUCCCUUUUCUCUACAUCCUCAUCAGCACUUGUAAGACUGAAGUCUUUAAUUCAUUUUGAGUUGAUUUUUGUAUGUGGUGAGAGCUAAGGGUCUGGUUUCAUUCUUCCUCAUGUAGAUAUCCAACAUCUACAUGAGGAAUAGCACUUUUGUUGAAGAUCAUUUGGCUAUAGAUGCACAUAAUACCUUUCCUUAAUAGCAUUUUAGUGCAUUUAGGUCUUGGUGCAUCCAUUGAAUUUCUGCCAUUGGUGGCACGACUUUGCUGAAUACUUUUAAUUUUUAAAGGAGGAAGGCUUCAUAUUUAUUUGUUUGUUUAUUGUGGUACUGGAGGUUAAACUCAGGGCCUCUCACAUGCUAGGUAAGUGCUCUACUGAACCACAUCCCCAGACCUUUUUAUUUUUUAUUUUGAAACAGUGUCUCCCUAAGUUGCCCAGGCUGUCCUUGAACUUGUGAUCCUCCUGCCUCAGCAUCCUGAGCAGUUGGGAUUAUAGGUGUGAGCCACUACUCCCAGCUAUUAGUGUAUUUUUUUUUUUUUUUUGUCUUUAGGUUGGGUUUUCUUUUUGCAGAAAAAUCUGCUCCAUGGUACUUGAAAUCUACUCCCUGGUACUUGAUAUUCAGCAUUUUUUUUAGCUAAAUUGAGAUCCAGAAAAGGUCAUUGAUUUCCCUCAGUUCAUACAGGCACUUAUUAACAGAGGUCAAGCCUCAAAUGUGUUCCAUACUGACCAUAUUAAGCCAGAAAGCGUCUUCUUUUUAAAAAUAUCUAUUUCCAAAGAAGGGGUUAGGAGAAAUAGAGGCUGUGAUACUCUCAUUGAAGGAAGGAUAAGACCAAAAGAAGGGUAGAACCCAGGUAAGGAAAGGGCUCUGUAUAGGCAGAAGACCCAAAGAUACAGUAGGUAUCUCACAUUGGACAGGAAAAGGAGGUGACACGGGGUAAGAAAAAGACAAGAGAUACCACACCACCACCACCACAUACUUGGCUUACUUGAAAAAUCUCACUCAGCCAAACAGAUACAAGUGUCCCUUCGGAUCUUAUUAUUUCUACAGCUGUGACUUAAGUGCUGCUUAUCUUUCCUCCAGGAGAUUCCUUGGAAUGAAACCAAUGGGAGUCCAGGCUUUGGGAGAGUCUCAUCAGAGCAGAUGGGCCAGCAGCAGCCAGAAAGCUUGUUGCCUUUGGCUGAGAGCACCAUCCUGGAAGUGAACAUCUUGUGAGUAAACCCCAGCAGGCUCAGCCUUCGGCCUGAGUGAAGUGGCCUGCUUCUCCUUGAAGAAGGACCUUGUGUUCUCCCACUUUUCCCCUCCCUUCUUGCACAUGUUGAAAAUCCCACUUCUGAGAGCACUCUUCAACUGAAAACCAUGUUGACCAUGAGCAGCCCUGGGAGAUGGCUUCUUAUUGCUUUAGGUCUCUUGGUAUAUGGAAGUGCGUGGCCUGGAGGGCCAGAAGGCCUGAGUUCUGGUUGCUACACAACUACAAAUUUUCUCUGGGACCCUGUUUCCUUGGGACCAAAUUGUUCCUCUGUGGGCCACAGCUUCCUCCACUGUAAGGUUGUUUAUAAUAAGAAUAGCUGCCAUUUAUGAAAUGCUCACUAUGUUCCAGACAUUAUCUCAUUGAAUUCUUUCAACAGUCCUAUGACAUUUGUCCUAUUAUUGUCUUACUUUACAAAUAAGGAAACUGAGGCUUAGCAUUUUCAUACCCUAAUCACCCUUUUUAAAUUGCCAACUGUGUCUAGGCAUAGUGGCCUGUGCCUAUACUCUCAGAUACUUGGGAAGCUGAGGCAGGAAGAUGGCUUGAGCCCAGGAGUUUGAGAUCAACCUGGCCAACAUAGGAAGGUCACAUCUUAAAAAAAAUCCCUACCCCUGGCCAACACUCUUUCUCUGCUUUAUUUUAGCUAUAUCAUUUAAUACCACCUGAAAUGCCACAUAGUUUAUUUUUCUGUUUGUCCUUACCCGCAUAAGACUGUAAACUCCAUUAGGAAAUGGAUUUUGUCUUUUUGUUAUUGUUAUUAUUGUUCAUUUUCUGUGUCCCCAGGGCCUAGAAUUAUGCCUGGAACGCUGUAGACAUUCAAAUAUUGGUUGAACGAAAAACUCAUCAAAUGAAUUCUUGAUAGGAUUGUAAAUUGGCAUAGACUCUAAGGAAGUCAGUUUAGCAAUAAUAACAUUUAACAUACACUAACCUUUUGACCCCACAACACCAGAAUUAUUUUAUUCUAUACAUAAUAUGUUCAUGAAUGUGCCUACGACCAUAAGUGCAAGGAUGUUUACCGCAACAGUUUCCUACAAAGACUAGAAACAAUCAAUAUGUUCAUUAAUAAGGGAGCCUAAUUAAAUAAAUGGAUAAGUUCCUACAGUAGAUUCUGUGUAGAGGUAGAAAAGGAUGAAGUAAUCUGCAUGCACUGAUACACAACAACCUAAGAAAUAUUUUAAGUAAAAAGGCAGAGUAAAAAAACAGUAUAUUACUUCCUUCCAUUUGUAUUAAAAGGUAGGAGAGAUCUUAAGAAAUACUUGUUUAUGCCUAGACUAUUUCCAGAAGACAAAAAAAAUUUGCCUUGAAGAAGGGGACCAGAAAAUCUAGGCAUGGGUAGUGAAUAAACUCCUAUUAAAAUAUACUUCACAAGCCAGGCAUUGUGGUGUAACACCUGUAAUCUCAGCAGCUGGGGAGACUGAGGCAGGAAGAUCUCGAGUUCAAAGUCAGCCUCAGCAACCACGAGGUGCUAAGCAACUCAGUGUGACGCUGCCUCUAAAUAAAAUACAAAAUAGGGUUGGGGAUGUGGCUCAGUGAUUAAGUGCCCCUGAGUUCAAUUCCUGGUACAAAACAAACAAAUAUAUAUAUAUAUAUAUAUAUAUAUAUAUAUAUAUAUAUAUAUAUAUAUAUAUAAUCAAAGUUUUCUAUUUUAACCCUUUUUAAAUGUAUACUUAAAUGGCAUUAAUUAUAUUAAUUAUAUUUACAAUAUUGUGCAAACAGUCACAAAUGUGUAUAUAUAUGUAUUUAUUUAUUUCACAAACUAUGCAAUUGACCUUUUUUUUUUUUUUUGGUGCUGAGGAUUGAACCCAGAGCAUUGUGCAUGCUAGGCAAACACUCUAACAACUGAGCUAUAUCUCCAACCCUGCAAUUGACCUUUUUAAAAUGUACAAUUCAAUAGUUUUUGGUAUGUCAGAUUAACUUUUGAAGAUUAUGAUAAAAAUGUGUAUGUAAUAAAGUUUCCUAUUUUAACCCUUUUAAAGUGUGCACUUAAAUGGUAUUAAUUAUAUUCAUAAUAUUGUGCUAACAGUCAUAAUUUUCUUUUUUUAAAUAUUUACUUUUUAGUUGUAGUUGGACACAACACCUUUAUUUCCCUUGUUUACUUUUUUAUGUGGUGCUGAGGAUCGAACCCAGGGUCUCGCACGUGCGAGGCGAGUGCUCUACCGCCGAGCCACAACCCCAGCCCCAACAGUCACAAUUUUCUAAAACCUAUUUACCAUCUCAAACAGAAAUUUUUAUAACCAUUAUAGUGUGGUUUUCUGUGGUGUUUGAUUUUUUAAAGAACUAUGCACAUGUAUUACUUUUUUAUUUUAAAAAUUAACUUAUAAAAUAAAGUAUAUCAGGUUCAGAAAACUUAAUAUCCCACAGUCAUAUUCCAUAGUAG